GCUUCACAAGGAAGCACUGGUACCAUUGCUCAGCUUUCUACAAAAAGGAAACCUUUUAACAUGCAUGCACCACCCUCUUUACUCCUUCCUUGCAGUGAAUGCAGUGAGGAAACUUCCUCCUUCCCUUUCACCUUUGGGCUAUGGAAUAUGGAUGUCCUACUCGUACAUCAUCCUAUCGUCUUUAGUUUGUUGAGCUUUGGCAACUUCCAAGUCCAGCUUUUCUCAUUUUGUGAAAUUAAAAGUAAUUUUCUACUUUUAAUUUCAUGUUAUUGCUAUUACAUGUUAUUUUUGUUGUUUUUAUUUUAUAAAUUUUUAGUAAUCUUAUAAAAUAUUAGCAAAUGAAGUUAAAUCCAACUUGACCGAGGAGAUGCACAAACCACGUUUUCACUUCUGUUUUAGCUUUAGAUUCGAAUACUUUUACUUCAUAGCCUGCAACCCGAAAGCCCUCUCCCACCAUUUCUUGAACUUGCUCACCUCCUCCACAUUCUCACCGUAAUACCUCCUUCCGACUGUCAUCACCUUAACAGACGCUCGAAGAUAAGCAAUUUCAUCUCCAUCUCCAUCUCCAUCUCCAUCUCCAUCAUCUGAUGUGAGGCCUGGAGAUGACUGAACUCAACACUGGAACAAGUAUGGCGCUGAUACGAUCAAAACAGUAGGCAAACAGGCUGUUCCACUUCAUCUUCCCAGACAUCUCACAACCAAAAAAUUUUCAACCAGGCAGGAAAGGUGAUAGUUUUCUUCAAUUUUCCUUCUUGCUUUUACUCUUGAUUAUCUGAUCUCAAUGCUGAUAUUUUGGAUCAACAAGAUGGGCAGUGGCAGUCCAAAUUUUAGAGUGCAGAAUGAUGAUGAAAUCAUCUAAUAUCCGACACUGUUAUUGGUCGACUAACUAGAUGUACCCAUUUAUUGAAAUCUCUUUGCUUUGAAA